GACGAACGCUGGCGGCAUGCCUAAUACAUGCAAGUCGAGCGAACAGAUGAAGUGCUUGCACUUCUGACGUUAGCGGCGAACGGGUGAGUAACACGUAAGGAAUCUACCUAUAAGCGGGGGAUAACAUUCGGAAACGGGUGCUAAUACCGCAUAAUAUCUUCUUCCGCAUGGAAGAAGAUUGAAAGACGGCUCUGCUGUCACUUAUAGAUGACCUUGCGGUGCAUUAGUUAGUUGGUGGGGUAACGGCCUACCAAGACGAUGAUGCAUAGCCGACCUGGGAGGGUGAUCGGCCACAUUGGGACUGAGACACGGCCCAAACUCCUACGGGAGGCAGCAGUAGGGAAUCUUCCGCAAUGGGCGAAAGCCUGACGGAGCAAUGCCGCGUGAGUGAAGAAGGCCUUCGGGUCGUAAAACUCUGUUAUAAGAGAAGAACAAAUUGUAGAGUAACUGCUACAGUCUUGACGGUAUCUUAUCAGAAAGCCACGGCUAACUACGUGCCAGCAGCCGCCGUAA
rnacentral:rRNA from 1 species